UUACCAGACUCCUACGGGAGGCAGCAGUGAGGAAUAUUGGUCAAUGGGAGGAAUCCUGAACCAGCCAUGCCGCGUGCAGGACGACGGCUCUACGAGUUGUAAACUGCUUUUGUACCGGGGUAAAAUGCCUUACGAGUAGGGUUUUGAAAGUACGGUACGAAUAAGGAUCGGCUAACUCCGUGCCAGCAGCCGCGGUAAUACGGAGGGUGCGAGCGUUAAUCGGAAUUACUGGGCGUAAAGCGCUCGUAGGCGGUAUGUCAAGUCAAGGGUGAAAUCCCCGCGCUCAGCGUGGGAACUGCCUUUGAAACUGGCAAACUGGAGUGUGUGAGAGGAUAGUGGAAUUCCAGGUGUAGGAGUGAAAUCCGUAGAUAUCUGGAGGAACAUCAGUGGCGAAGGCGACUAUCUGGCACAUAACUGACGCUGAGGAGCGAAAGCGUGGGUAGCAAACAGGAUUAGAUACCCCCGUAA
rnacentral:rRNA from 1 species